GUACACAAAAAUGCACAUGCUGUGAGCUCGAUGAGUAGGGCGGGACACGUGGUAUCCUGUCUGAAUAUGGGGGGACCAUCCUCCAAGGCUAAAUACUCCUGACUGACCGAUAGUGAACCAGUACCGUGAGGGAAAGGCGAAAAGAACCCCGGCGAGGGGAGUGAAAAAGAACCUGAAACCGUGUACGUACAAGCAGUGGGAGCACGCUUAGGCGUGUGACUGCGUACCUUUUGUAUAAUGGGUCAGCGACUUAUAUUCUGUAGCAAGGUUAACCGAAUAGGGGAGCCGAAGGGAAACCGAGUCUUAACUGGGCGUUAAGUUGCAGGGUAUAGACCCGAAACCCGGUGAUCUAGCCAUGGGCAGGUUGAAGGUUGGGUAACACUAACUGGAGGACCGAACCGACUAAUGUUGAAAAAUUAGCGGAUGACUUGUGGCUGGGGGUGAAAGGCCAAUCAAACCGGGAGAUAGCUGGUUCUCCCCGAAAGCUAUUUAGGUAGCGCCUCGUGAAUUCAUCUCCGGGGGUAGAGCACUGUUUCGGCAAGGGGGUCAUCCCGACUUACCAACCCGAUGCAAACUGCGAAUACCGGAGAAUGUUAUCACGGGAGACACACGGCGGGUGCUAACGUCCGUCGUGAAGAGGGAAACAACCCAGACCGCCAGCUAAGGUCCCAAAGUCAUGGUUAAGUGGGAAACGAUGUGGGAAGGCCCAGACAGCCAGGAUGUUGGCUUAGAAGCAGCCAUCAUUUAAAGAAAGCGUAAUAGCUCACUGGUCGAGUCGGCCUGCGCGGAAGAUGUAACGGGGCUAAACCAUGCACCGAAGCUGCGGCAGCGACGCUGAUGCGUUGUUGGGUAGGGGAGCGUUCUGUAAGCCUGCGAAGGUGUGCUGUGAGGCAUGCUGGAGGUAUCAGAAGUGCGAAUGCUGACAUAAGUAACGAUAAAGCGGGUGAAAAGCCCGCUCGCCGGAAGACCAAGGGUUCCUGUCCAACGUUAAUCGGGGCAGGGUGAGUCGACCCCUAAGGCGAGGCCGAAAGGCGUAGUCGAUGGGAAACAGGUUAAUAUUCCUGUACUUGGUGUUACUGCGAAGGGGGGACGGAGAAGGCUAUGUUGGCCGGGCGACGGUUGUCCCGGUUUAAGCGUGUAGGCUGGUUUUCCAGGCAAAUCCGGAAAA
rnacentral:rRNA from 1 species